GACAUGAUACAACUUCAAUUAACUAAGGACAUGACCUUAGAUAAAGAGGUAUGAUGGUCGAUGAUUAGGGUAGAAAGCUAGUAGAUAGUUGAGUGUUGUCCUACUUCAUGAUUUAGGUAUUGCAUAGUUUCUUUUUCUCCAAUGUGCAUUAAUAUUUGUUGCUACACUUAUUUAUACAUUUUUAUUUUGUUGUCUUUUUUCUUUCUUACUUUCAUGUGUUGGUUACAUUUUUUUAGACGAGAGUUUAUCUAAAAUAACUUCUAUACCCCUCAAAGAUAGAGGUAAAUGAGUUCUAUAUUUUGUCAUCA
rnacentral:lncRNA from 1 species